GGAUGAACGCUAGCGGCAGGCUUAACACAUGCAAGUCGAGGGGUAUAGGUUUUCGGACCUAGAGACCGGCGCACGGGUGCGUAACGCGUAUGCAAUCUACCUUUCACAGAGGGAUAGCCCAGAGAAAUUUGGAUUAAUACCUCAUAGUAUUAUAGAAUGGCAUCAUUUUAUAAUUAAAGUCACAACGGUGAAAGAUGAGCAUGCGUCCCAUUAGCUAGUUGGUAUGGUAACGGCAUACCAAGGCAACGAUGGGUAGGGGUCCUGAGAGGGAGAUCCCCCACACUGGUACUGAGACACGGACCAGACUCCUACGGGAGGCAGCAGUGAGGAAUAUUGGUCAAUGGGCGCAAGCCUGAACCAGCCAUGCCGCGUGCAGGAUGACGGUCCUAUGGAUUGUAAACUGCUUUUGCACAGGAAGAAACAACGCUACGUGUAGCGUCUUGACGGUACUGUGAGAAUAAGGAUCGGCUAACUCCGUG
rnacentral:rRNA from 1 species